UACGUAGGGUGCGAGCGUUGUCCGGAAUUAUUGGGCGUAAAGGGCUCGUAGGCGGUCUGUCACGUCGGGAGUGAAAACUCAGGGCUUAACCCUGAGCCUGCUUCCGAUACGGGCAGACUAGAGGUAUGCAGGGGAGAACGGAAUUCCUGGUGUAGCGGUGAAAUGCGCAGAUAUCAGGAGGAACACCGAUGGCGAAGGCAGGUCUCUGGGCCAUAACUGACGCUGAGAAGCGAAAGCAUGGGGAGCGAACAGG
rnacentral:rRNA from 1 species